rnacentral:lncRNA from 1 species
UCUCUAGUCAAAUUCAAUAACUUAGUGAAGUCAGUGGGAUGAUUUUUGAUUACUGAUUGAUCUCUUCUCUUUUCUAAAAUAUAUUAAUCAAAUCUUCUAAAUUAUUAGAUCCAUAAAAUGAGCUAGUUAUGGAGAUAACUAGAUCAUAGCCUUCCAUUUAGUUGGAUGAUAAUAGGUCCAUUAGUCUGAUAAUCAUUGGAGGCCCAAAGGCUUGAUGCUUAUAUACAAUUAAAAUUAUCAUUCAUAAUAUGAUAACUCAAUCGUGUCUCUCUGGUGGG